UAUUAUACUAAGAAUAAAAUAAAAUUAAAAUAUUAAGAGUUAAGAACUUGAAAUUUAAAGAAUUUGGCGGUAAUUUAGUCUUUUCAGAGGAACCUGUUUUAUAAACGAUAAACCACGAAAAAUCUUACUUAUUUAUUUUAAUUUACAGCUUGUAUACCGUCAUUAUUAGAUAAUAUUUAGAGAUCUGUUAUUAGACUUUAAAUAGUAAAUAAAAUUAGAUCAUGGUGCAGUUAAUGAAUAAGUAAAAAUGGGUUACAAUAAAGUUAAUUUAUUAUGGAAUAAAGUUUGAAAAAGUUUUAAGAAGGAGGAUUUGGUUGUAAUGAGAAAUUAAUAAGAUAAAAAGAAAUAAGCUCUAAAUUAU
rnacentral:rRNA from 1 species